rnacentral:rRNA from 1 species
AUACGAACUGUGCAAACGUUAUUCGGAAUCACUGGGCUUAAAGGGUGCGUAGGCGGACUUGAAGGUCCGAUGUGAAAUCCCACGGCUCAACCGUGGAAUUGCGUCGGAAACCACAAGUCUUGAGGGAGUCAGAGGUAAGCGGAACUGAUGGUGGAGCGGUGAAAUGCGUUGAUAUCAUCAGGAACACCGGUGGCGAAAGUGGCUUACUGGGACUUUUCUGACGCUGAGGCACGAAAGCUAGGGGAGCGAACGGGAUUAGAUACCCUAGUAGUCC